GUGUGAACUGCAGGACACAUGAACAUCGACAUUUUGAACGCACAUUGCGGUCCAUGCUAAUGUUUUUUUAAAACUGCAUGGACCACGUAUGGUUGAGUGUCGUAA
rnacentral:rRNA from 1 species